UACGGAGGGGGCUAGCGUUGUCCGGAUUUACUGGGCGUAAAGAGCGCGCAGGCGGUCGUUCAAGUCGCGUGUGAAAGCCCCCGGCUCAACUGGGGAGGGUCACGCGAUACUGAUCGACUCGAAGGCAGGAGAGGGUAGUGGAAUUCCCGGUGUAGUGGUGAAAUGCGUAGAUAUCGGGAGGAACACCAGUGGCGAAGGCGACUACCUGGCCUGUUUCUGACGCUGAGGCGCGAAAGCUAGGGGAGCAAACGGGGAUUAAGAA
rnacentral:rRNA from 1 species